rnacentral:misc_RNA from 1 species
GGGAAAUCUCCUACACUAACCAGCAAAAACCAGAGCCAUGAAUCAACACAAAAAGGAAAGAAACUCUGCAUGCAAAUAAAAAAAAAUCGCACUUUGUUUUAGUUGCAAAGAACCAAAAUUAGAUUUUAAGUAUUGCAUAAAUUGUACAAAGUACUUCCAGUAGGGUGAGUUGACUCAUUAUAAUUGUGAUUAGCAUAAGAUAAAAAUCCUCAGCGUGUGUUAUCUGGGGGGAGAUGGGAUGAAAAUUCAGAUAAUUAGAGUAGUUAUCUUCUUCCACCCUUUUGAAUAUCAAAUAAUGGAAACAAAAUCCAAUUAGAGUCUAACUCAACCAUGGAUUCAUGUCCAAUCUUUCAAGAUCAGUAGUUUUUUCCUGGUCUUCUCAACAUUUUCUCAGCAAAAGUAUUUUUCCUUCAUUUCAAGUCAUAGUAGAUUUUAGACAUAACACCAUUAGAACUAGUUUAUUUUAUUACUAUGGAUAAAAAUAAAUCUAAAAGACUCAGUUAGCCUCAGAAGCUUAUACUCUGAGAAGUUAAACAAAGAAAAUUUACACUAGAGCAAUGUCAGAAUAUAGAAGAAAAAAAAAAUCAUUUGCCCAAGGGAGCAUAUAUGGUUGAACUCAUUCAAGUGAACUCCCAAAUAGCAAUUCUACAGACAAAAACAUAUUAAACCCAGAAAAAUUCAUAAUACCAAUUUUCGUUUCUUUCAACUCUGAUUUUUUUUUUUUCA